rnacentral:rRNA from 1 species
GGAUAAUUUCUGGAAACGGAAACUAAAACCGGAUAGGUAAUAGAGAAGCAUUUCUGUAUUAUUAAAGAAGCCUCAAAGCUUUGAACAUGGAUGGACCUGCGGUGCAUUAGCUAGUUGGUAAGGUAACGGCCUACCAAGGCGACGAUGCAUAGCCGACCUGAGAGGGCGAACGGCCACAUUGGGACUGAGACACGGCCCAAACUCCUACGGGAGGCAGCAGUAGGGAAUUUUCGUCAAUGGGGGGAACCCUGAACGAGCAAUGCCGCGUGAGUGAAGACGGUCUUCGGAUUGUAAAGCUCUGUUGUGAGAGAGAAAGGAUAUAUAUAGGAAAUGAUAUGUAUUUGAUGGUAUCUCACCAGAAAGUCACGGCUAACUACGUGCCAGCAGCCGCGGUAAUACGUAGGUGGCGAGCGUUAUCCGGAAUGAUUGGGCGUAAAGGGUACGUAGGCGGCAUGAUAAGUCUGGAGUGAAAGGCUACAGCUCAACUGUAGUAUGCUCUGGAAACUGUCAAGCUAGAGUGCAGAAGAGGGCAAUGGAACUCCAUGUGUAGCGGUAAAAUGCGUAGAUAUAUGGAAGAACACCGGUGGCGAAGGCGGUUGCCUGGUCUGAAACUGACGCUGAAGUACGAAAGCGUGGGGAGCAAAUAGGAUUAGAUACCCUAGUAGUCCACGCCGUAAACGAUGAGAACUAGGUGUUGGGGGAAUAACUCAGUGCCGCAG